rnacentral:rRNA from 1 species
GACGAACGCUGGCGGCGUGCUUAACACAUGCAAGUCGAACGGAAAGGCCUCUCUCGGGGGGUACGCGCGAGGCGCACGGGUGAGUAACACGUGAGUAACCUGCCCUUGACUUUUGGAUAACUUCAGAGAACUGGGGCUAAUACAGCGUAGAAGCUCCUGCUGUGUGUGGGGGGUUGUGAAGUUUCGGGGGGUGGGGGUGGACUCGCGGCUUAUCUGCGUGUUGGGGGGGGAGUGGCUUACCAAGGGUUUGUCGGGUAGCCGGCCUGAGAGGGUGACCGGCCACAUUGGGACUGAGAUACGGCCCAGACUCCUACGGGAGGCAGCAGUGGGGAAUAUUGCACAAUGGGUGGAAGCCUGAUGCAGCAACGCCGUGUGCGGGAUGACGGCCUUCGGGUUGGAAACCGCUUUCGCUCAUGACGAAGCUUUGUGUGACGGUAGUGGGUAAAGAAGCACCGGCUAACUACGUG